AUUGAACGCUGGCGGCAGGCUUAACACAUGCAAGUCGAGCGGGGACUUCGGUCCUAGCGGCGAACGGGUGAGGGAUGCUUGGGAAUCUGCCCAGUAGUGGGGGAUAACGUUUCGAAAGGAACGCUAAUACCGCAUACGUCCUACGGGAGAAAGGGGGGGAUCUUCGGACCUCUCGCUAUUGGAUGAGCCCAAGUCGGAUUAGCUAGUUGGUGAGGUAAAGGCUCACCAAGGCGACGAUCCGUAGCUGGUCUGAGAGGAGGAUCAGCCACACUGGAAGUGAGACACGGUCCAGACGCCUACGGGAGGAAGCAGUGGGGAAUAUUGGACAAUGGGCGAAAGCCUGAUCCAGCCAUGCCGGGUGUGUGAAGAAGGCCUUCGGGUUGUAAAGCACUUUAAGCGAGGAGGAAUGGCUCUUGGUUAAUAACCUUGAGCAGUGACGUUACUCGCAGAAUAAGCACCGGCUAACUCUGUGCCAGCCGCCGCCGUAACAC
rnacentral:rRNA from 1 species